AGAACGAACGCUGGCGGCAUGCCUAAUACAUGCAAGUCGAACGAACUCUUCGGAGUUAGUGGCGCACGGGUGCGUAACGCGUGGGAAUCUGCCCCUUGGUUCGGAAUAACAGUUGGAAACGACUGCUAAUACCGGAUGAUGACGAAAGUCCAAAGAUUUAUCGCCAAGGGAUGAGCCCGCGUAGGAUUAGCUAGUUGGUGAGGUAAAGGCUCACCAAGGCAACGAUCCUUAGCUGGUCUGAGAGGAUGAUCAGCCACACUGGGACUGAGACACGGCCCAGACUCCUACGGGAGGCAGCAGUAGGGAAUAUUGGACAAUGGGCGAAAGCCUGAUCCAGCAAUGACCGCGUGAGUGAUGAAGGCCUUAGGGUGUAAAGCUCUUUUACCCGAGAUGAUAAGUGACAGUAUACGGAGAAUAAGCCCCGGCUAACCUCCGCGCCAGACACGCCGC
rnacentral:rRNA from 1 species